rnacentral:rRNA from 1 species
UGGGGAAUUUUCCGCAAUGGGCGAAAGCCUGACGGAGCAACGCCGCGUGAGGGACGAAGGCCUCUGGGCUGUAAACCUCUUUUCUCAAGGAAGAAGAUAUGACGGUACUUGAGGAAUAAGCCACGGCUAAUUCCGUGCCAGCAGCCGCGGUAAUACGGGAGUGGCAAGCGUUAUCCGGAAUUAUUGGGCGUAAAGCGUCCGCAGGCGGCUUUUCAAGUCUGCUGUUAAAAAGUGGAGCUUAACUCCAUCAUGGCAGUGGAAACUGAAAGGCUUGAGUAUGGUAGGGGCAGAGGGAAUUCCCGGUGUAGCGGUGAAAUGCGUAGAUAUCGGGAAGAACACCAGUGGCGAAGGCGCUCUGCUGGGCCAUUACUGACGCUCAUGGACGAAAGCCAGGGGAGCGAAAGGGAUUAGAUACCCCUGUU